GACGAACGCUGGCGGCGUGCUUAACACAUGCAAGUCGAACGGAAAGGCCCUGCUUUUGUGGGGUGCGCGAGUGGCGAACGGGUGAGUAACACGUGAGUAACCUGCCCUUGACUUUGGGAUAACUUCAGGAAACGGGGGCUAAUACCGGAUAGGAGCUCCUGCUGCAGGGGGGGGGGUGGAAAGUUUGGGCGGUUGGGGAUGGACGCGCGGCUUAUCAGCGUGUUGGUGGGGUAGUGGCUUACCAAGGCUUUGACGGGUAGCCGGCCGGAGGGGGUGCCCGGCCACAUUGGGACUGAGAUCCGCCCCAGACUCCUACGGGAGGAAGCAGUGGGGAAUAUUGCACAAUGGGCGGAAGCCUGAUGCAGCAACGCCGCGUGCGGGAUGACGGCCUUCGGGUUGUAAACCGCUUUCGCCUGUGACGAAGCGUGAGUGACGGUAAUGGGUAAAGAAGCACCGGCUAACUACGUG
rnacentral:rRNA from 1 species